rnacentral:pre_miRNA from 1 species
CACUUACUCCCUCCGUCCGGAAUUACUUGUCGUAGAAAUGAAUAAAAAUGGAUGUAUUUAAAACUAAAAUGCGUCUAGAUACAUCCAUUUAUAUGACAAAUAUUUUCGGACGAAGGGAGUACAUG